rnacentral:lncRNA from 1 species
UCACACAGAGAGAGAGAGAGAGAGAGAGAGAGAGAGAGAGAGAGAGGGAGGGAGGGAGGGAGGGACAAAACUCACAGUUGAUAUGAAGCAGUUGUCAAGAGAAGGUUCAUUGACUGGUUCGUAUCUAUCAUAAGUGUCAUAAAAGAUCUCAUCAACAGGUCCCAGCAGAUCAACCCCUGGCUUCAGUUCUAUCUCAGGUUGAUCAGUUUCAGCCUCUGCCGAAACAAAUGCAAUGAAUUUGCCCUUUGGCGCAACAUUGUGAGAGUAUGAACAACAGAAAAGAUACCUGCUCAAAAAUAGGCACAGUUAAACAAUAAGUCAAAAUCAAGGAGCAAUACUUAGAUUAUCAGGACAUGAAAUAAAUUUAAACCAUCGGCAAUCCAAGGCCCACCUAUUAAGCGGCACAUGAAACUAUCUAUGAAAUUUAAGAUCCAAAUGCAGGUAUCAAAUACCGUUUAGAAAAUGAUAUGCAGAUUCUAAUCGUGACCAAAAUGAUUGAUUACGUAAAAUUAAUAAAAUAUCAUCGAUCUCAUGGGACCAGAUAAUUAACUUGUUACACUUACAUUCAUCUGAUUUCCCACCUCAAAUACAACAAAUGCAGUUAAAUGGAUAGUGAGAAGCUUUUUUUGUUAGGACAAUAAACAUUUAGAUUUGCUUUUUCCCCGUUCAUUUCUCAAACAAACUUUGACAUCAAAUAUAAUAAGAAGCUGUAGCUAAUAAUCUCCAAUUAGUGUAUACAAUAACUUACAUAUCUGACUUGCGACCCAACUGUUUCUGUGGGAUAAUAACCUGCACUGAGUGAGAAUCAUUGGUGUUUGGGAUUGGAUGGCUCAUGAUACAGAUUGCUCUGGAGACCUUCCCAAUUUUCCUAACCUGUAAAAGUUCACAUAUUCCCUUCUGAGUAUGAUGUCCAAUGUCAUUGCAAAAUUAAAAAGAAAAAAGGCGCAUCUGCAAUUUAUGCGCCUUCGUGGUCAUCAGGACUUGUUACUGGUUCUUACUUUGUUAGAAAGGAUGGGGUGUAAAACAUUUUGCGAGGUUCAUGGCCUUCAGGGCCGAGAAAGUAGUCAUAUGUUAGUGGCAAAAUAAAUCUUAUAUUCAACAACCAUCAGCAACGAUGCAGCACAAUUAUCCUUUUACUGGUAUCAAGGGGGUGCUGCAAGCACACAAGAUCUCCAUGCAAAGAAUCUGACGGAUAGAACCAAUAUGCACUUAUUUAACCAAGCUCCACAAAAUUUUUCAAACCAAUUUAAGCUACAAUAGUCUCGUGGAAGAUUACUAUCUAAUCUUCAGAAUCAAUACACAAAUUAUACUCUAGAAGCUCAUACCAAUUAUAUCAAGCAAACUGGACUCUGACGUAAGAUCGCUAACAUCCUGCAAUAAUCAUGAUGCAGUAUCAUAUAUAUUACCUUGUUAGUCAAGUAGGAAGGGUCACAAACAACUUUUUUGCAUUUAGCAGUUUCACCCUCUGAUGUGACACCAAUGACUUGGCCUUCCUCGUUGAACUCCACCUGCAAUAACAGCAACAUAAAACAACAUUUUUUUAAUUAGUAGCAGAUUUAACUUGAAUAAACACCACUCCAUGAUAUUGGCAGAAACUAAGUAUAUAAUUACUAGCCCAAAUAUAAAUGAGAACCAAAUGAAAUGAUUACCUUGCAUUCCGGUUUGUUCAACAUGUAAGUCCCACCAUAUACAGCACUAAGCCGUGCAAAUGCCUGGAUUACAAAGAAAAAUGUUAAAUAGAAACUAAAGUAAAUGGUCAGGCACUGUAUCUAGAGCAACUGAAUGGACAUGCAUCUGUGAUGCUAGAUGUACCUGAGGGAGCUCUCCCAACCCAUACAAAGGGUAAAUAUAGGGAGAUCCUCCUUGAAAACGAGCAAGUGACUCUGCAUAUAGCUAUCAAGUGGCCAAUGGAAAGAAGAGCAAUGUCAAUUCAGAGAUCUCUAAACAAAAUGAUAAACAUUUUUGUUCUGGGACAGGAUCAUUCACCUUCAUUCUCUUGACAGUAUCCAGGGCAGGCUCAUCUAGGAACCGGUCAUCUCUAUGGAGCGCCAAGGCAUGGCCAAUAAAAUCCAUGGUGUUGUCAUCCAGACCAUAUUUUCUGUUCAAACAUCAACAGAGGCAAAAUGACCAAGGAUUCCAUUGUUCGACCAGCUAACAUCAUUCUACUCAUUAUGAUAGCUGGAACAAAUUCAUGCAGAAGAAGAGAAAAUGAAAGAAAUAUAUGAGUAAGAGCAACGUAAGAACUCUCCACUUUGUCCCAGACUUUCCUUCUUUUUUAUAAGUAAUAUCAUUUACAAUCCAAUAUCCAAAAUAGAAAAUGCAGAGGAACACUUCCUGCCACAAGUAGUGCAUAAAAUGGUAUAAGACUGUAAACAUCUAGAAAAUUUAGUUAUCAUUUAAUCAGUCGUCAGAAUGGGAACUUCUAAGCGAAACAGUUUGCAAUUGCAGUGCAGCAUAGAUUUUUUUAAAGAGAUUACAAUGACAUGGCGACCUAGGAAAGUAUUUAAAUACAUACGCUAUCAGUUCUCUCGUUGUUACACGUGUCAGAUCCAUCCCCUCAUGUGUCUUUGGAUCAUUUUCAUCAUAAUCUUGAACGUAUAUGAAGAACUUCCGGGCACGACGCUUCUCAAACAUGCCCAUGAGUGGAGAUUUAAGUGCUUCCAUGUCAGUAGCAGGCACUUUGUGAACCUGUCAUUGGCAUUACUAUAUCAUUGAAUGAGAGAGGAAAAAUUAGGCAGACUUGCAAAUGGUGUUCCAACAUAGGGUCCAUCUCCAUACCUUUCCCUUAUUGAAGACAUAGCCGCCAUCCACAGCUUUGAAGUACAGAUACUUGGUAACAUCCGUAUGAAUGAGGACUCGCACAAGAGUACCAUUUGCCAUCAUAAACUACACAGAAACACUAGUCAGCAAUGAAUAAAUAAUGAGAAUAUAUAUGAUUUGCCACAACUUAAAUUGUAGGCCAAUUAACAAAGUGUGAGAAUUAUACCUUUGGGACCAUGUCAACAUUAUAAUCCCUGCUAGAACCCAAAUGUGGAGGAGGUUUAUCACUAUUCCUAAAUUUCUUCCAGAGCUGCAGUUCUCAUCAAAAGAAAACAUUCAAACCACCAAUUAAAGAUAAGGCAAUAAUGCAGAAAAUUGCCAUGAACACUUGAAGAAAGCAGACCUGAAUGAGGUUAAGUGAUGUUGACUCUGCUCCAUAAUAGUCAUUCCUAUCCAUGUGCAAAACCUGGUUCAAAAGUUUCUUUCAUCAGCAACAGAACAGGAAUCCACAAUCUAUGGUAAUUACCAUUGUUUUGAUAAGGGAAAAAGAGAAUGAGGAGAGAAACUGAGAAUAGUUAUUUCAUUGCAUAUUUUGCAACAUUUAUUAAAAGAGAAAAUCCGCAUGCCCUUAGACAAUUACAAAGAAGAUAAAGAAGAGUGAAUAAUAUACAUGAGAAACUACAUGAAAUGGUUAAUGUAAUACGAAAUUUUAAAAAGAAAAAUGUCGGUUCACAAAUAAACUAGUGGAAUGGAUAUACUGUUCAAUAAAUACUUGCUUCAGUAAGUUCCUAUUGUAUAUAAGUUACAUUUAGUCUUAUAAUUUUAUGAGGAAGCAAACACAGCAACUCUAGUCUAGCCUAGCAUGACAUUCAGCAUUUCCAUUAAUGUGAUUUUCCACAAAAAGUUUUUCGGCCAGCUGUAAAAGCAGAGUGACACGAGGGCUGCCAAAUGUAGUCUAUUUGCCAAUACCAGAAUGGUAGAAGGGUGUACGACCAUUGAGGUCAACCCACCAAAGUUUUCUGCUGUCCUAUUAGCUCAGGCCAGAGCUAUGGCAUACAGAGGUAUUCUUACCACAGGACUCAAGAUCUUACUGGAUUCACAGGAUCACAUAUCGGAUUCAACUUAGAGACCAAAGAGUCUGAUAGGUAUAGCCACAAAACGCCUAUUAAGUGUCUAAGGACUGGCUUAUGUCCUGUUACAGCAACUUUUGGAGGGAGCUACCUAAAAUUGUUGGCAUGAAGCUCAUGGAAACAGCCAAAUGCUGAAGGGGCAAUCUCCUUGAUUUGACAUACUAUGCGGUGCAGAGGUCUAAGUUUCAAGGAACUUUCCGUCAAUCCUCCUCUCUAUCCAACAAGAUGAAAAGAGAAGUGCAUCCGUCUCCAUAAAAGGCAUGGUGACAAGUCAAUCGGACAAGACAAUGUACUAUUCCACCUCCACUGUCCUCAAAGCUUAGACCAUUCAAAUAAUUACAUGUAAUCAACAUACUCGAGACUGGCCCGAUUCAAUUAUCACGAAGUUGCCACCUGAAUUUGAGAUCAAACACAGCGAAAACUAGAGGCAUCCAUGUCCGAUCUCUGCCGAUCACCAUAUGAAAAAAAAUUAAAUCUUUACAAUUUCAAUCGAGCUCAUCGGCAGCUUAAAACCAAUAAAGCAAAGCCCAAUCCAACUGCCGACCGGUUUCUCAGAUCAUCUCCGCAUAAAUUAGCAUUGCCAUCCUCACGUAAACCCGCUAGCAAAGCUAGGUUUCCCCAUUUCAAGAGCCUCGCUCGUCCGUCCCAAUACUAAUCGAACACAAGACAACACACCAGCAGCCAAAAAGCCCCAAUCGCCGAUCUCCUCAGCAUCGAUUUCCACUGCCUACUAGAUUCGAAAACAUGAUCAACCGACUCCCCAAUCCAAACGAACACCGACUCAAAAAAAACCCCCCGAAGUCAGCGCGCAGAUCCUCACCGCAUCGUCAACCCCAAAAAAAUAUAUAUUAAAAAAAAAAAAAAAGGAAACUUCCGCAAAUCUAACGACGCGAUGGCGAAAUCACGCACGACCCUCGAGAGGAUUCGCGCAUCCGAGGCACGGGAUCGAAUCGCAAACGACCGAUCGAGCGAGGAAACGACGGGAGAAGGAGGAGGGACCUUGAGGCCGUCAACGGAGAGGAGGCCGGAGAGGAUGCACUCCUUGAGGCCGGUCCCGAGCACGAUGACGUCGUACUCCUCAUCCAUGGUGGCGGUCCGUCGCCGGCGACGAUCGGUGGGUGGGUGGCGGAGCGCGGAUCGGGCGGCGGCGGAGGAGGGGAGAUCUGAGAGGGAGUAAGACCGGAGAUGCCGCAGGAGCAGGAGAAGGUAGGAGUUGGAAUACGAUGAUUGCGUGCUGUCCCCGGUUGAAUCGGGGAUAUUUAUAAAUAAAGUAAAAAGGAAAGAAGGGAGAGAGAUGCCGGGCUUGAUUAUGUCCGUUUGAUUAUGCAGUAGGGGGAGGCAAAUGAGGCAUCAUAUAAUAAAGCUUGUCGAUUUCAGCUGCUUCCUGCUCCUCUCUUUUUUUUUAAUUUUUUUUUCUGCAAUAUCUUUUUUUUUUCUCUCUCUCUCUCUUCUUCUUCUUCUUCUCUUCUUCGUCUUUCUUUCUCUCUUUCUUGUUUUUUUAAUAUGAUAUUGGGACGUGGGAGAAAAGGUCUUCGUGAACUCGAUGCCUGGGGGACUGAGUGAAUAUGACCUGUUUUCAAUAAAGCGGAGAUGCUUAUCCGCUGGAGAGAUUCAUUCGGUCCAUUAUGGAGUAUGGACCACGAGGCAGCGAAGGAUUUGCUUUGAGCAAUGCGCGAUUUAAGCUUAUGUUGUCGCCCCCAAAGUAAUUUUCCCUUCUUUAAAAUAAAAAUAAUAAUAAGAGUACCCAUUUAAUGAAUCACUUCUGCUUUUUCGAAUUAAUCUUGAUUUUUCUUAAAACACAAUAAGAAAAUCGAGAAAAGUAGGAAUUCUUGUUUGUGAUGUAAACAAGUCAUAAAACUUAUAGUCCAAGUUCUACUAUUAAAGUUGCUUGGAUUCGAAUUGGCGUAAGAAAUGAUAAAGUGAGAUUAGCCAAACUCCUAAUAUCGUCCGGAUUAUAGAAAAUCACAUAAUAUGUUUGGUGUAAUUUAAGAUAGAAAUUAAAAAAAUUAAAAUUUUCGAAAAUUUUGCCUACUCAAUGUGUAAUCUCUCGUAGUAUCUAGAUCUAAAGCUCCCUCACCAGCAUCAUUCUCUUCAAUUCCCUUGGAUUUGUCUUCUUUGCCAAGCCCACUUCCAUCUCCACCUACAGGCCAUAAACCCUAUUCGGCUUCAUCGAAUGAGAGAUGAUUCGCCAUGUGACGUAUAAUUUCUCCUUUUUACCCUCAUUUAUUCAGACAAAUUUGGCCGAUUAGCAAUGACAAUCGGCAAUGGUUGGAGGCAACAUCGAUUGUAUGGUGGUCUGUUGUGGAGGCAGUCCUUAAGCAAUGACCGGCAAAGCAAGAUGCAUCCCUUCAUCUUUUGAUGAAAAACUAUUGAGUCAUUUAAUAAAGAAAAUAUUCAAGCCAGAUUCAUUCCACCCUAUAACCCAAAUUUAUUUAGAGAAUGUCAUCAAUCACUGUAUAUGAUAUUUUGUUAUUCUAUAAAGAUUUACCAAACAUAAUCUGAGCCUUUUCAGCAAUAACUCUAAUGGAAGAAUCAUGCCAUUUUUUGUUAUGAAACUCAUAUGAAUCAAUAAUUGUUCAACAUAAAAUUGUAGUCUUAACGACACAUUUUAAUUGUACCAUGUCUUUCUUACUUCACUCUUCAUCUCACCACAUGGAAAAAUUACUUGGGGAUCUUAACGGUUCAAUUGUUUCCGAAUUUACCCUAAAGUUUCUUAAAGCAUUUUAGUAAUUAUUUCUAUGGUAUUUUUGAAGCGAGCUUCCCUUUCCACAACAUUUUCAGCUUGAACUAUAAUGAUGUACAAAGUUGGAUCCUAGCCACGACACUAGUGGGAGUCAACACGCGUGACUAAAUAGUCUCUACCACCUCUUGAUGGGAGUUGUACAGCGUGCACGACUUGGGUAAUAAUAAGGUUCAAUUGAAAGGAUUCAUAGCAUUAAAAAAAAUCCCCAAUUUAAUAUGCCCGUGAGAAAUAUAUUAAAAUCUCUGGGCAAAAUUGAGGUAAAAUUAAGAAUUUUAACAGAUUUUCAAAACAUGAGGAAACUCUUAGAGCAAAAUUAGUAGAUUUCCCAAUUUUAGGGAAAAUUUAAAGAAAAGUAAGGAUUUUAUCAUAUUUUUGAAAUGUCAAGGAGGUCUUAGGGUUAUUAGCAGAUUUUCUAGUGUCAGCUGAUUUAUUUUUCAGAUUUAACUUGCUCAAAAAGAUCCCGUUUAUUUAUGUGGAAUUUCCACAUCGAAUUCAUGUUGCAUCCGUGUUUCUCGCCACAUAUGUUUCCACGAAAUAAUUUAACCAAAUAUUCAGCAUAAACUAACGAGGAUAGAUUUGUCACGGGGUGUACCAAUUCAGGAUAUUUUGUGACGCAAAAAUAAAUUGUGAAUUGAAUGUGACAUGGAUGUACCGAAUUUUGGAGAUAUUUUCCUAAAUUAAAACUAUGGCUUAAUUAUUUAGUUUGCCAUACUUGAUUUAUGGCCCAAAAAGGGCCUCAUGAUUUCGCCAUUUCCAAUGGGCUUUUCCCCGAUUUCGGGGCUUCUUAAGAGCCCAACGAACCACGAAGGUGGGCCGGAAAUGCGAGAUGACUUGGUGGAUAAAAACCCGAGUCAACUCCCAAUUUCAAUCCUUGCUCAAAAAAAAAAAAAAAAAAAACUCCCAAUUUCAAUCUCCGGCACAAAAAAAAAAAAAAAAAAACUCUUACAUGUACGAAUAUAUAUAUGUAUAUAUAUUUUUGAACACUUAAAUGCACAUGUCGUCACAAAUGUAAAUCUUCAUUAUCCAUAACAUAAUCACUAGUUUUCAAACUCCUGCAUAAUAGAUUUAUAACUGAAAAAUGAGAUACCUAAAGAAAACAUGUAGAAAAUUUGAAUUUUAUUGCUAAUGCUUCUUUACCCACGCAUACAUAGUUAAUCUAUUUCUAAGAAAAAGAAAAGGAAAACUUAAAAAGAAUAAAAGAAUUAGUGUAAUUCUGAACAAACGCCUUUCGGUUAUCCUAUUAACAGACUAACAAGCCUAUUUGGUAAAACUGAAAAUUAAGUGUUGAAAAUUUUAUAAUUUGUAAUCAACACCAGGUAGAUCUACAAGACAUACCCAGACUCAUACUUCACAAUGCAAUUAUCAAUUCCAAAAUGGAUUCGGCUGCUAUAAUGCUCGGAUAUCACUAAAUUUUCAUUAGGAUAUUGCAUGGUUGUCGGUAAACGGUCUCUAUGCUGAUUCAUCAAUAUUAAUCCUAAUUUACAAUGUCGUUUAUUAGAAGAAAUUUUGAUAGUAAAAGGAAUUACAGAUUUGUACAAUGGACUUAAUUGAAACGAAAAGACAUCAAAGGGAGAUGCACGAAGAAAGUGGAAGAUCGUUGGACGUUCGGAUAAGUGGGAAGAUAGCCAAAAAUUAGUAUAGGAUGUGGCAAUACCAUGAUUAACAGAGUCAAUUAAUACCUCAUCUAUUUCUCUUUAGAACUCAAAACCAUCUACUCAUUGCCGAGCCAAAGAGACUUCCAAAUUAGCUCAAACUACUUAUUAUUUCACUGAUGCAAUUGCAUUCUCGAGCAAAAGCUGUAGAACACGCGAUCUCGCAUAUAUACGGGACGUAGACCCUAGACUUACAUGUCGGAGAGCAUGUUCGGUGCACCUCCGGUGCGCAAAGGAGGGCGAGCUCGGCCUUGAGGUCCCUUCAGGGCUCAGCAGAUCCGCCUUCGAUUUACUGUCGCAGGUCGUGAACCUUAAACCUCGCUUCACAUUGGAGAAGGAAAAGGACUAGUCAGCGAAAGCUAGAGAUCAGAGGGUCUCUCUCGAAGCAACGAAAGCGAGCAUGAGGACGAUUGUUACCAAUUGCCACUGCUUCAUCCGAGCUUCAAUGGCCGCCUCUCUGCGCAUGCAUGCACUCGGCUCGCAUUAGCUCGGUGCAUGGAAUAAUGAGAAUGAGACCUAGAUGGCUUCUUCAGCUAGGUCAUCCAUGUCUACACAAUGUCCAUGUUGUUUGAGUUGGAAAAAGGGUGCUAUCAAGUCUGUCACAUUCAGUCACAUUGAUCGCCUAAUGUUUCAGUAAUGUGGCCAUGGACCCGUUUCAUCUUUGGAGGAGACUAUCAAGCAGACACUGACGACUAGCAUUUUAUAUAAGCAUUGCACAAUGUAAAUUCUUUACAUGUAUUAUCACAGUUGACAGUAUAUAGAAUAACCAGAUACACGUUUUAGAGAUUCAUCGACAAUGAAGACUGAUGUCUGAGAGCUCCAAACCAGGCAGUAGCUACUAGCAAUGCAUACGCCGAACCUCCUCUCUUUUUCUCAUUCCUCUGCAGCACUGGCAGCGCUCAAAUCCACACUGAGGUCGAGAACCUGCCCAGAAGAAUGUUAAUUUGUCAGCAUCUCCCCCUCCCCCCCUCUCCCCUUCAAUAUCUUAGCAAGGAAGCUUGAAUUGCUGCUAUGGAAAAUGUUAGAGUUGAAAAAUAACUUCUAUAUGAUCUUCAAUCAUUUCAAAGCAAUAUCAGCCGUUUGUCAUACUUUUGCCUUUUAGCAAACACUUUUGCCUUUUAACUUCUGCCAAAGAAUCUAACAAUUACAUAGUACUAUCUCUAAUUGGUAUUUCCUGUCCUAUUCAAAAUGUUACACUUCUCAAUAAUGCUUAAGCUUUGCUAUAAUUUUACAUUUUCAGGACAUCUUUGAUAGUUUACCAAAGGGGACUAUAGACUUGGUUAGCAGAGGGAAACGAUAAAAUGUGCAGCAGGAGGAAUUUUUGGGCAGGUUUCAUGGUGCUGGAACGUAGGUCCGAAAGUUGAGAACUUGUACUUCAUAGCAAAUAGUCAACAGCCGUCUAACCAGACCAAUCGAGAUUGCACUCAUUGGACACAAGAAAAAGAGGAGGGCAUGGCAGGGCUUAUCAUGUAACUAGGCUAAAUGCAUGACAACCUUGUCGAGAAAAACAUUAGAACAUAACUUCAAGGCUGAGGGAAACAGACGAAAAUACAUAAUGAUCAGGUAUAAUUAACAAGAAGGGUAGACCCGAGCAGUUCUAAUAUUAAUGGCUUCCAAAGAGUCCUCAAAAGCUUCCAACCCACAUGAAAACUUGUCAAAGAUUAUCUCAUGCUCGCAUCAUAAUUGAGAGCAGGACAUUUCCAAGAAGUAAUUCUUACCUUUCCAGUGAUCUUCGUAUACAUGUUAAGCACAUCCUUAACAGUUGACUCGAAGUGGGUUGUGGCAUCAUAACUCUGCAGGUAUAGCAAGAGAAGAGAUUAACUUAAUAUCAAUACAAUUAAAAGCUUCCGAACUCCACAUAUACAUCACACACAGAGAGAAGAACAAACUCACACUUGAUAUGAAGCAGUUGUCAACAGAAGAUUCAUUGACUGGCUCAUAUCUAUCAUAAGUGUCAUAAAAUAUCUCAUCAACGGGCCCCAGCAAAUUAACACCUGGCUUCAGUUCUAUCUCAGGUCGAUCAGUUUCCGCCUCCGCCGAAACAAAUGCAAUAAACUUGCCCUUUGGUGCGACUUUGUGAGAGUUUGAACAACAGAAAAGAUACCUGCUCAAACAGGGGCAUAGUUGAACAAAGAGUUGAAACCAUGGAAUAAUGCUAUCAGAAGGCCGUGAAAACGGAUUUCAUUAACCAUUGGUAAUUUAAGGCCAACCUGUUAAGCAGGCGCAUGGAACCAUCUGUGAAAUUCAAGUUCUAAAAUGCAAGUAUCAAAUAGUGUUUAGAAGUGAAAUGUGUAUCAAGCAGAUUCUGAUCCUGACUUAAAAUGAUAGUUCACGUAGAGUUAUCAUUGAUCUCAUGGGACAGAUACUUAACUUGUUACGCUCACAUUCAUCUCCCUUCCCACCUCAAAUACAACAAAUGCAGUUAAAAGGAAAAGUGAGAAGCUAUCUCUCCUUGGACAAUAAACAUUUAGAUUUGCAUUUUCCGCCUUCAUUUCUCAAACAGACAUUCAAAUAAAACAAAAUAAGAAAAUAUAGUUAGUAAUCUCCAAUUAGUGUACUCGAGGCCUUACAUAUCUGACUUGCGACCCAAUUGUCUCUGUGGGAUGAUAACCUGCACUGACUGAGAAUAAUUGGUAUUUGGGAUUGGAUGGCUCAUGAUACAGAUUGCCCUGGCAACCUUCCCAACUUUCCUAACCUGUACAAGAUUACAUAUUACCACUGAGUACAACGUCCACCCUUUUGUUGCAAGAGGGAAAAAAAAAGGUAUCCGCAUGCCUUCGUGUUUAUCGGGGCUUGUUACUGGUUCUUACUAUCUUUAAAAAGUAAAAGAAAACGACUGAGAGGGUGGGGUGUAAAACAUUUGCGAGGUUUAGGGCCUUUAGGCCAGAGAAAGUAGAAUAUCUUAGUGGCAAAAUGAAUCUUAUGUCAGCCACCAUAGGCACUAGUGCAUGGAGCAACAAUGAUCUUUUUAUCAGUAUCAAGAGGGUCUGCAGCACAUGCGCACACAAGAUCUACAUGCAAAGAAUCUGACAGACAGAACUGAUAUGCACCCAUUCAACGAACUCCACAAAAUUCUUAAUCUACAAUAGUCUCGUGAAAGAUCGCUUAAUGAUCUUACGGAAUCAAUAUACUUGCUAGACUGCCUGAGCUAGCACCACUUACAUCAAACAAACUGAACUCUGACAUAAGUUCGCUUAUAUGCUGUGAUGAUUGUAUCAUAUUCAUUACCUUGUUAGGCAAGUAGGAAGGGUCGCAAACAACUUUUUUGCAUUUGGCAGUUUCGCCCUCUGAUGUGACACCAAUGACUUGGCCUUCAUCGUUGAACUCCACCUGCAAUAACAGCAAAAUAAAACAACAUUUAUUUCCCUAUAAGUAGCAGAUUUAACUUGAAAUUUGACUAGUAAACACCAUUUUCAUGAUAUUGGCAGAGAAUAAACAUAUAUUUACCAGUCCAACUAUAAAUGAGAACCAAAUGACCCAAUUACCUUGCAUUCCCGUUUGUUCAGCAUGUAAAUCCCACCAUAUACAGCACUAAGCCGUGCAAAUGCCUGGGUUACAAAGGAAAAAAGUCAAAUAUAAUCCAAAGCGAACGGUCAGGCAUCGGUAAUGAAUGUGAUCCGGUAUAUCAAAACUGCAGCAGCGGCUUGGACAUGCAUCUGUGACACUAUAUGUACCUGAGGGAGCUCUCCUAACCCGUACAAGGGGUAAAUAUAGGGAGAUCCUCCUUGAAAACGAGCAAAUGACUCUUCAUAGAGCUAUCAAGUGGCCAGCGGAGAGAAGAGGAAUGUCAAUUUAAAGAUCUCCAAACAAAAUGGGAAAAAAUUCUCUUUACGAGCAUAAGAAAGAUGUUUGUUCUGGGAAACAGGAUCAUUCACCUUCAUUCUCUUGACAGUAUCCAGGGCAGGCUCAUUUAGGUAUCGAUCAUCUCUAUGGAGCGCCAAGGCAUGACCAAUAAAUUCAAUGGCGUCAUCACCAAGACCAUAUUUUCUGUUCGAAAAACAGAAGCAAAAUGGCCAAGGGUUCACAGUACCACCAGCUAAUAUUAUCCUACUCAUCAUGAUAGCUGGAACAAAAUCUUGCAGAAGAAGAGAACAGGAAAGAGUUAUUUAAGUAAGAGCACUGUAAAGACUCUCCAACUUUGUUUUAGACUUUUCUUCUUUUUGAUAAGUAAUAUCAUGUACAAUACAAUAUCCAAAAUAGGAAUGCAGAGGACCACUUCCUGCUACAAGUAGCACAUAAAGUGGUAUAAGACAGUACUCAUCUAGCAAACUUAGCUAUCAUUUGAUCAGUUGUGAGAAUGGGAAAUUCUAGGCAAAACACAUUGCAAUUGCAGUGCAGCAUUAACGUUGUAUACAGAGAUGGAAAUGACAUGUCAACCCAGGAAAACAUGUAAACAUACGCUAUCAGUUUUCUUGUUGUUACACGUGUCAGAUCCAUCCCCUCAUGCGUCCUUGGAUCAUUUUCAUUAUAAUCAUGAACGUAUGUAAAGAACUUUCGAGCUCGAUACUUCUCAAACAUGCCCAUGAGUGGAGUUUGAAGUGCUUCCAUAGCAGUAGCAGGCACUUUGUGAACCUGUAAUUGGCCGUACCAUAUUGUUGAAGAAGAAAGGAAAACUAGGCAGACCUGCAAUGAUUUUGCAAAUGUUCCAAUAUACGGUCUAUCUCCAUACCUUUCCCUUAUUGAAGACAUAGCUUCCAUCCACUGCUUUGAAGUACAUAUACUUGGUAACAUCUGUAUGGAUGAGGACUCGCACCAGAGCACCAUUUGCCAUUAUAAACUACACAGAAGCACUGGUCAGCAAAGAACCGAUAAGGAGAAUAUAAACAAUCUGCAAGAGCCUAAAUUGUAGGUCAAUGAACCAAGUUCAGAAUUAUACCUUGGGGACCAUGUCAACAUUAUAGUCCCUGCUAGAGCCCAAAUGUGCAGGAGGUUUAUCACUAUUCCUAAAUUUCUUCCAGAGCUGCAAGUCACCAAUAGCAACUAUUCAAACCACCCAUUAAAGAUAAUGCAACAGUGCAGCAAAUUGCAGGGGAUGUACGAAGAAAGCAGACCUGAAUGAGAUUAAGUGAUGUUGACUCUCCUCCGUAAUAGUCAUUCCUAUCCAUGUGCAAAACCUGGUUCAAAAGGUUCUUCUGUCAGCAACUGAGGAGAGAUCCACAAUCUAUGGUAAUUAUCUUUGUCUUGGUUAUGGGAAAAAGAGAAUAGGGAGAGACAACGAGAAUAGUUAUUUCAUUGCGUAAUUUGCAACAAAUCUCAAAAGAGAAAACCCAAAUGCCCUUAGAUAAUAACAAAGAAGAGCAAUUUUCAGGGGUGCAACCUAAACUUCUUGGCAUGAACCUGACGGAAGCAACCGAUUGUUGAAGGGGCAAUCUCCCUUGAUUUGACAUACUACCUGCCGCAGCAGUCUAAGUUUCAAGGAGCUUUCCCUCAAUCCUCCUCUCUAUCCAACAAGAUGGAAGAGAAGUGCUUCUUUCUCCAUAUAAGGCACGGUGACAAGUCGAUCGGUCGAGACAAUAUAUGAGUCCACCUUCACCGUCCUCAAAGCUUAAGCCUAAGUAAUAAUUUAACUUGUGCUCGGAAACGACUUCGCAUGUUGUCAAUAUACUCAAGACCGACUCGAUUCAACUAUCAUGAAGUUGCCACUUGCAUUUAAGAUCAAAGAUAGGAAAACUGGAGUUAUCCAUGUCCGAUGUCUACCGAUCACUAUAUGACAGGACGCAAAUUCACAAUUUCACUCGAGCUCAUCAGCAGCUUAAAACUACUACAGCAAAGCUCAAAUUCAACUCCAGACAGGUUUUUCAGAAUCUCCACUUAAAUUAGUAUUGCUAUUCUCAUGUAAAUUGGAGUCUUGCCGAUCUGUCCCGAUACAAAUUGAACGUAAGACAAUACAACAGCAACCGAAAGUCCAAGGCACUUAUUCGAACAUGUCGACCGGCUCUCCAAUCCAAAUGAACACCAACUUGAAACCGAAGUCAGUGCAUGGAUCCUUACCGCAGCGUAAACCAAAAGAAAACAUCCGUGAAUGUAACUACACGAGCUAAAUUUCGCUGGAAAAAUAAGAGUCGUGCGACUCUCGUCAGGAUUCAGACAUCAGAAGACAUGUGAUCGAACUGAACCGAACCGAACUGACCGACUGACCGGUCGAGCAAGGAAAUGACCGACGGAGAGAUGAAGGAGGAGAGACCUUGAGGCCAUCGACGGAGAGGAGGCCAGAGAGGAUGCACUCCUUGAGGCCGGUCCCGAGCACGACGACAUCGUACUUCUCGUCCAUGGCAGUCGAUGAUUGGUGGUUAGAACAGAUCGGGAAGGUCUUGAGGUUAGACCAGGGUACGAGGAGAGUGGCGGGUAUUUGAAGACUCGGAAGAAGAACGGGGAAGGUGGCGGGGCGAAUAUGGUGGCGUGGCGUCUGCAAUGAAGGCGGGAAUAUUAAUGAAAACGACGCUGAGAAUUCGUUGCUUGAUGUUACGAAGAGAGGGAUAUAUGACAAACUUGUGGACGGCAUCUGCUUCCCGCUCCUUUCUACUUUUAAUUCCAUUACUAUCAUUUAGUAACUUGAUUUUUCCUCCGCUUUUUAGCAUAAUUAGUUCGUAACUUAUUGAUUUAAAUUUUUAAGUGAAUAUAAUCCAAUUAGAUAUAUUAAUGAGCUUGGAUUUGAACUUCCUCUUAACGAUCUCUGAUCCGUCAAAUGAUUAAGUGAGGUCAAGUUUAUAUUCGAGGGGAAACUCCACUCACUUAAAGCUAUAUGCUAAUGGAAAAAUAGUAAAUUAAAUAAAAAAUAUGAAAAACCUAUAAAUUAAAAUAUCAAUAAAGAAUUUGAUCAAUAAAAUAUAUAUUUAUAAAGAACUUAGGGCUGAUGAACCAUUUUGCGACUUGGACUUAGUAAGCCCAAUUUCAUGCGGAUAGCUCUUUUAUUUAUAAAUGGGUUACACAUGACACAAGUUAAAAUAAAAAUAAAAAUAAAAUGAAAAAAGGAAGAAAAAAGCAGGGAAAACAAUGAAUUAAGAAAAGAAAAGAAAAAAAGCGAGGACAAAAGAGAAAGAAUCGAAGCGCAUUCAUUUCUUCGCUUGUCGUCCUCGAAAGCCCGCCCCCUUCCCCCUCAUCAUAUUAUGUGCUCCUCACCACCCCUUUAACCACCCCUCCUCCUCCUCCAUCGCCACCAUCACCGCGGCCACCACCGCCGUUCCCAUCCCUUCUUGACCUCCGCAAUCUCAAGUUUCGCCGGCCGCCCGCCCGAACCUUUAAUCCCCUUCUGGGUCUUAGCAGGGGAGCGAGGCCCGAGAUGAAACGGCCCCCCGCCGCCAGUGAGGACGCCGAGGCCAAGAAGAAGCUCUGGCCCGACCAGGAGGAAGAGGAGCCGCCCCCCGCGGCGGAUGGCAUGGCCCCACCGGCCGAGUUCACCCACCUCAAUGAGGACCUGCUGUUUGAGGUGCUCAAACACGCGGACGCCCGCACGCUCGCUAUGGAGGCAAGCGGUAGAGGUGGCUCGGAGGCGAGUGGCAGGUUGGGUCAAACGCACUUAAUGUCGAAAAUGAAUUAGACAUUCUGACCCAUUUUUACCUAUACAAUUCACCUUAAAACUUUUUGGACACUUUUUAAUUGGACCCUUAUAUAUUUAUGACCCACUUGCAACCCAUUAACACAAAAUAUGAGUUAGAAAAUGGGUUCCUAGCCUAUUUUGACACCUCUAGCAAUCUUCCCAGGCGAAAUGUAUCGGAUUUCUACUCGGUGUUCUCAAUAGUGUUGAUGAACUUGGUGCAACAUGGACUAAGCAACACAAGCUGUUUCGAUGAAAUGGGGACAAUGAAGACACAUCCAGUUCAUUAUGGAACAAGAGUAAGUGAGAAUUUACCCCAAGCAACAUGCAAUAUAAGCUUGUUAUAGAUUAGGGGUGAGCAAUUCUAAAGUGGAUCUAAAUUUCACUUGGAACCAAACAACAAUAUAGAGAUAAUUUUGAGAAAUUCAAUUUCAACAAUCCCAUUGACAUCCUAUUAAGUUCUCAUUAGUCUCUAGAACCAGUUAUCAAUUUUUAGAAUUUAGAAUCUACCGUGAAACCAACUUUGGAAUUGAAUUUGCAACUCCAAGGUCCACCUGGAAACCAAUCGAUUCCUUUUUAUUUUUCAUUUUUUGCUACAUUUUUAGUCAAGCAACCAACAAAUUUUCCCUUUAAAUAGAUAGAGCUUUCAUCAGCAAGAUUGUCAUCACAAACAAAACCAUUUAUAAGUAAAAUAAUCUAUUUAAACUAACAAGAGAAGUCGUAUUAUGUUACCAUGUAAAGUAAAUGAAAGAGGUCGAUUCAAGAAUAAACUAGAAACACAUGUAAAAGAGUAGUGAUUAAUUAAUUUGAGGUUUCCAAAGAGCAAAGGAGACUAGGUUUCUUCUACAAUGAGUAUACAUAUAUGUUGCUAGUGGAUUCUAAUGGGUACAUAUCUUGCACAUGCACCAAAGCAUUGAAAAGUAAUUAUAGUAAGGAGAGAGCAUAUUGAAUAACAUUAGUAAUGAAAUGAUGUUUCAAAUUCUAAAAGUUUGAUAUUACUGGUAUAAAAAUUGGUGAAAAGAUCCAUAUAUACUACUAGUUUUAUGCCUAUUUUGGUUUGGUUCGAUUAUCUUAUUUCUAGUCCAAUUUUACAAUUCCCAAUCCGGUUCGAUUCCAUUUGUACCUAGGUAUCACGAAUCGAACCACAUAAUAUUGUUCCAAAAUAUUUGGAACUAGACCGAGGAAUUCUGAAAUUGAGAACUGCACCAAUUUUAAGAGUCAGUCUAGUAUGGUUGCCAGUUCUAUCCACGACUUAUGCUCACCCUUAGUAUGAAUAACCCAUCUAAAGAACCUUACCAAAAAUAAUAAUAAUAAUAAAAUAACCCAUCUAAAGAAUCACUCUACUUCUUUUCAAAUUAAUCAUGACUUUUCUUUAAAGAUUGUACGAGGUUAGGAAGAACCUCAUUGGUAACGUGUCAAAUAAUGUUUGAUUCCAUUAUUUUGUUCUUUGGAACAAAAAAAAAAAAAACAGAAUUCUGUUUGGUAACUUUUUUAUUCCCAAGAAUAAAUUUGGUGUACAAUCAAGAGAUAAAUAAAUUAAAAAAAGUUACAUUUUUGUUCUAAAAAACGACUCCAAAAUCAAGCAUUGUCUUUUUUUUUCUUUUCUUUUCGUUUUUUGUUUCGGCUUCUUCCUCCUCUAGCCGGCGACCUUGCUAGUGGCUAGGUGAACACAAACCUCGUUAAGAUCUAGUGAGUCUCAACCUCACCCGAAUCUUGGGAAGGUAGAGCUCGCCCAACCACUGGUAAAGCUCACCCUUGCCCAUUCACUGCGAGAUCACCCUCCCCAUGGCCAGGCGACAGCCACCUUGCGGUGCGGUGGUUAGGCGAGGCUUGGCCUCGCCUUAGCUGGGUGAGGCUCGUGGCAAGGUCGACCUUGCAGUGGUUGGAUGAGGGUGUGCCUCACCAAAUUUGGGUGAGAUUGAGCCUCAUUAAUUGCCAGCAAGGCUUAGGUCGACGAGGCUCUCUUGAGGCCGAUGAUCGGCAAGUGGAAGAAGAAGAAGAAUAAGAAUAAAAGGAAAAAAAUAUAUAAUAAAAUUAUUUAAAAAAUUAAAAGAAAUUUUGAGUUACAAAAAAAUCUUAAGGUCGUACCAACACAUUUCUAUUCCAAGAAUAUAAUUUUGUAUAGUUAUGAAACGCUUCAAAUGCUCAGAAAUUCAUUUAGAGAACAAAAUUAGAAAAAAUCAUUUCUAAACAAAAAUUGUUUUCAAGAACAAAAUGAUUACCAAACGCACUUAAAGAGUACAAAAUUCUUAUUCACGUGUACAAACAAGUUCUAGAGCUCAUCAUCUAAAUUUUACGGUCAAAUCUCCUGUAAUUUCUCUAGAAAUUGAUGAUUGUUUGUAUUUGACAUGACAUUGUGGAAUUAGCGCAUCAAUUGUCAUAAAUGUAAAUCUUUACGGUCCUUAAUCAUUAGCUUGAACCUCGUGCAUAAUAGAUUUUAUAACUUAAAAUGUCGGUCAACUUCCUUUCGGAACUUAACAUUUUCUACCUCAUUUUUCUAAAGACUAACUUCAAAAAAUUAACAGUAUCUAUACCCCGUGCGGAUCUGCAUGAAUAUGCCCUGGCUGCAAGACCAUGGCCUAUGGUCAGUUGCUGGCCAUGGCCGAGUACCGGCCGGCCAUAGACCAAAGAGAAAGAAAGCAAAAGAAAAGAAAAGAAGAAGAAGGAGGAGGAGAAAUGACAAAGAAGAAAAAUAAGAGAAAAGGAGAUGCAAGUCUACGAGAGAAGAGAGGCAAAAGGAGAAGCAUCUAACAAGGGACCCAUGAGAGACAUGUGCCGCUCAAUGGAUGGGCUUCUAAUUUGUUGUACUAACACGACUUGGCAUAACUUGUGCGGUCAAUAUUUUCUCAUUGCUGAGACGCGCAAAUAGUAAUUAGCACAAUCAACCAAUUUGAAACUUAAAAAAACUUGUUCCCUAUUUUAAUUUAAUUAAAAUAUUAGAUAAGAUACAGUCUUAAGAUUAAAUAGAAAAUUAAUUGUAUCAAAUUUACUAAUUGUACAUCACUAAUCGUCAACACCGAAUUAUAAAAUGCUCUCAACCUUCCCAAUCUAGUGAAUAUACAAUAUAUAUGAUAUGAAGGUGCGAGUGCAUAUUCGUGUAUUCCUCUCUAUAUUAAUCUCGAAAUGAACUAAAGUUGGUGAAAAAAGAAAUACGCCCAAGGAUUCGAAGUGAGAUGGCCGACAUUGGGUGCAAAUGACCUUUUGACCAUCGGAACUCAUUACUGGCAAUAUCCACCAAGACAAAAAUGGUACCGAAAGCGCCGUCCAAACUUAGCAUAAACUAGUUAUCGCUUCACUAGUACAAUCGCAUUCUCGAACAAAGUCAUAGGACACGCGCUCGCACAUGGACACGUGAUGAAGACCUAGACUUACAUGUCGGAGGGCUUGUUCAGUGCGCCUCCGGUGACCUUGGCGGCGCGAAGGAGGAGCUUGGCGGCGCGAAGGAGUGCGAGCUCCGCAUUGAGUUCCUUCAGCUGACUCAGCAGUUCCACCUUCGGCUUCUGUCGCAGCUGAUGAACCUUAAUCCUCGCUUCACAGUGAACAAGAAAAAGGAAAAAGUCAGCAAAAGCUAGAGAUCAGAGGGUCUCUCUUGAAGAGACGAAAGCGAGCAUGAGGACGAUUGUUACAAAUCGCCUUUGCUUCGUCUGAGCUUCAAUGGCCGCCUCUCUGCGUGGGCACUAGGUUCAUGUGACUAUCUAAUCAUACGAGUCCCACACGAGUCCCACACGAGUCUUAUCAAAUCAAUUAACGCCCCUACACACGGCUCCCAUUAGCUUUGCGCAUGGAAUAAUGAGAACGAGACCUAGAUGGCUUCUUCAGCUGGGUCAUCCAUGUCUACAGAAAGUCCAUGUCGUUUGAAUUGGAAAAUGGUUGCAAUCAAUCCAGUCAUAUUGAUCGCGUGAUAUUUCAAUAAUGUCUCCGCAGACUGUUUCAUCUCCGGAUGAGACUAUCAAGCAGACACUAAUGUCUAGCAUUGCAAAUAAGCAGUGCACAUUUUGCAUGUAAAUUCUUACAUGUGUUAUCACAGAUGAUAGUACAUAGAAUAACCAGAAACGCAUUCUAGAGAUUCAUCGACAAUAAAAACCGAUGUCUGAGAGCUCCAAGCCAGGCAUUAGCACUCCAUGCGCCGAACCUCUCAAUUCUCAUUCCUCUGCAGCACUGGCCGCGCUUAAAUCCACACUGAGGUCAAGAACCUGCCCAGAAGAAUGUAAUUUUGUCAGCAUCUCUCUCUCUCUCUCUCUCUCUCUCUCUCUCUCUCUCUCUCUCUCUAUAUAUAUAUAUAUAUAUAAUGCAUAAGCUAUACCAUUAUUUUACAUUUUCAGGACAUCUUUGAUCAUUAAUUGAAGGGGACUAUGAACUUGAUUAGCAGAGGCAAAAGACAAAAUGUGCAGUAGGUGGAAUUAUUGGGCAGGUUUCACGGGACAAUAAAGUAGGUCCAAAAGUUGAGAACCCAUACUGCAUAGAAAAUAGCCGACACCCUUCCAACCACACCAAUCAAGAUUGCACUAAUUGGACACAAAAGACGGAAGGGCAUGGCACGGCUUAUGUAACUAGUCCAAACGCAUGAUAACCUUGUCAAGAUAAACAUUAGAUCAUAACUUAAAGACUAAGUGAAACAAACAAAAGUGCAUAAUAGUCAGAUAUAGUUAACGAGAAGGUUAGACCCGAGCAGUUCUAAUAUUAAUAGCUUCCAAAGAGUCCUCCAACUUCCAACCCACGUGAAAACUUGUCAAAGAUUGUCUCAUGCUCGCCACGCCAACAAAGAAUUUAUCAUCAAGUUCAUAGUUGAUAGCAGAAUAUUUCCGAGAAGUUAUUCUUACCUUUCCAGUGAUCAAUGUAUACAUGUUAAGCACAUCCAUGACAGUCGACUCGAAGUGGGUUGUGGCAUCAUAACUCUGCAGGUAUAGCAAGAGAAGAGAUUAACAUAAUAUCAAUACAAUUGAACCUGAACUCCACAUAUUCAUCUCCCCGAGAGAGAGAGAGAGAGAGAGAGAGAGAGAGAGAGAAGAACAAAACUCACAGUUGAUAUGAAGCAGUUGUCAAGAGAAGGUUCAUUGACUGGUUCGUAUCUAUCAUAAGUGUCAUAAAAUAUCUCAUCAACAGGCCCCAGCAGAUCAAGCCCCGGCUUCAGUUCUAUCUCAGGUUGAUCAGUUUCCGCCUC